GUAGCCUCUGGUCCUUUUGUUACUUGGGUGUGGAUAGUUAGGGUUUUCCUUUUGAUUUAGUUCUAGAAAGUCAGAGUGAAUCAGCUUUAGGUUCCCUGCCUCCAGGCCCUAUUCUCCUGCCUCAAUUUCUGACCUGUGCUUCUGUGACCUGGCCCUGAAAGAGCCACCAGCUCUCUCCAGCUCAGCAGAUGAUCCAGUCUUCACUGGUAGAACUGCCUUGGCUUUAAAUUCGAAGCAUGGUUGGAGCUUAACAAAUGAUAGAAAAAAAUAUGGAGAAUUGAAUUGAUGGGUGAAUAACAUUUGGAGAACAAGCAUAACCACACUGGCCUCAGCUCUCAAAUAUUAAGGAAGCUAAGGGGAGCUCAUCAUUCCUUCCUAAAGUCAGAUUACCCUGAUUCUGUAGAUAUGGAAUCCUGUGGUUAUGCCUCCUCACAAGUGAUGUAAAUUUACAGUUGUUAUGAGAUGACCCUGCAUGUUCUCAAGCAAAUGACAGUAAAGAGGAUGAUAAUGAGUGAAUGAAAUAAAGAGAAGUAGGAGAAAGAAAUGGGCAAUAAAAAAUAGCUUUUAAUGAGCACAUACUCUGUGCCAGGCACUGUGCUAAACACUAGCACACAGCAGCACACUCAAUCCUUACAAUAAUCUUAUAUAGUAGUGAUAUUACCCCUAAUUUACAGGUGAUGAAACUGUAGUGGAGUCAGAAUUUGGUUCCAAACCUGCACUCCUAACCCCUUUGUUAAGCUCCUUUCCCCAUAGGAGGCGAAUUCUCUACUCUUAGGCUUUCACACUCAUUUGGCUUCAAGAAGUAGUGGCUAGGUUGGCCAUCCCCUAUCAUUGUCAUAUGUAAUGUUUUUACCAACAAUACUCUUUGAUGCUAGGGCGCAUCUGUGUAAUCCCUUGCAAAGUUGAAAAACUGAGUUCAUCAACUAGGGCAAGUAAUUUCAGCUCACAUGUCCUGGGAAAAUAACUGGACUUGGAUCUAGUUCCUGCCCUGACCAUGUGGCCUUGAAAACCACUCACCUGCUCUGAGUCUGCUCUCUAGCAUUCCAUGUCUCCAUAGUGUUGUUCAAAAAUUAAAGGAGCCAUUGGCGUAGAAGCACUCUAUGAACUGUAAGGACUACAAAAAUAAAAAUUAUUUCUAUGUCAUAAAAGAAGUUCAACUCCUUUUUUUCCGCUGAAUUCACUAAUUACGUAAAAGUCAUGGAGACAAGAUCUUCCAUGGCUGGAUUCAUUCCAACAACAACAGAUUCCACAAACAUCCAGUAAGGUCCUCACAUGAGCCAGGUGCUUUUAUAGUUUAUUUUCUUUUUUCAAAGACAAGAAACAAUAUGUUUAUGACCAAGUAACUUCUGCAUCUUCUCAUAUUUUGGCAGGUAUUAUACCUGCUGAGGAUUAAAUACCUCGAGCUGGACUUGGAUAGGUCAGUUAAUUGGGAUUCAGACACCCUGGUUUGAUUCCACAAACAACAAGUUGUCCUCCACUUCCUUGGCUCACAAAUGUGCACACAUCUGUGUGGCCCAUGGGGCAAGGUCAAAGUGUUUUUUCCUGGAGGCCAUUUUGUCACAUGUAGUCCCUACAAGACAGUGUGGAUGAGUCACAGCAGAUCCAUCACCCUUGUAACAAACAGCUUAAAUGCAUGCCCUGCUGAGCAUGAGUCAGGGUAAGGGCAGACUUAUAGGCAAUCUCAUUCCGGGCUUUCUAUUUUUUUCCAUCUGGCUUCUCUUCCUGAGUUUGUUUUGCCUUUCCCUAGACACACACAUAGCAGAGCAUCCUUUGCUUGCUACCUGUGUCUGCUGUUUGCAAACACCAUUGCUAUUUCUGAGCAAUGUUUCUUCACCAGGAAAGAACAGGUCCCCCAGACUCUG
rnacentral:lncRNA from 1 species